GCCAGAAUGGUGUAGUGGUCUGAGUCCUGGACUAUGACUCUGGAGACAAGGGUUCAAAUCCUGUCUCAGCCA